rnacentral:rRNA from 1 species
GGUGGGUGAAACUCCGGUGGUUGAUGAUGGGCAUGCGUUGUAUUAGCUGGUUGGUGAGGUAACGGCUCACCAAGGCGACGAUACAUAGGGGGACUGAGAGGUUAACCCCCCCACAUUGGUACUGAGACACGGACCAAACUCCUACGGAAGGCAGCAG